UACGUAGGGGGCAAGCGUUGUCCGGAUUCAUUGGGCGUAAAGAGCGUGUAGGCGGCCAGGUAGGUCGGUUGUGAAAACUGGAGGCUCAACCUUCAGAGGUCGACCGAAACCAUCUGGCUAGAGUCCGGGAGAGGAGAGUGGAAUUCCUGGUGUAGCGGUGAAAUGCGUAGAUAUCGGGAGGAACAUCUGUGGCGAAGGCGACACCCUGGACCAGCACUGACACUGAGGCACGAAAGCGUGGGGAGCAAACAGG
rnacentral:rRNA from 1 species